rnacentral:rRNA from 1 species
AACGAACGCUGGCGGCGUGCCUAACACAUGCAAGUCGAACGUGAUUGAGAGCUUGCUCUCAUGAAAGUGGCGCACGGGUGAGUAACGCGUAGAUAAUCUACCUGGUGAUCCGGGAUAACACCUCGAAAGGGUGCUAAUACCUGAUAAGCCCACGGGGUCUUCGGACUCUGCGGGAAAAGGGGGGGACCUUUAGGCCUUCCGUCAUCAGAUGAGUCUGCGUACCAUUAGCUAGUUGGUAGGGUAAAGGCCUACCAAGGCGACGAUGGUUAGCUGGUCUGAGAGGAUGAUCAGCCACACUGGAACUGAGACACGGUCCAGACUCCUACGGGAGGCAGCAGUGGGGAAUUUUGCGCAAUGGGGGAAACCCUGACGCAGCAACGCCGCGUGAGUGAUGAAGGCCCUUGGGUCGUAAAGCUCUGACAGAGGGAAAGAAGUGCAGGGGAGCUAAUAUCUCCUUUGCUUGACGGUACCCUCAAAGGAAGCACCGGCUAACUCCGUGCCAGCCGCCGCAGUAAUAC